AAUGAAAUUUUGUGGGAAUAAAGUAUGGGAAUUAACUUGGAAUUGAUGAGUCUGGUGAGGUUUUUCAUUGCCAAGGCGACAGCUGUAAACAACUUGAUAGGUUUUAUGUAGUCCAACAGAACUCGAUUUGCGAGGUAGCUUCAUCCAAGAUGUCCAAGGAUCAAGGGUUGAGUUUGCGCGGCGGAGCCCUAGUUUUGAAAACUAUCUCGAUUUUCCUUUCGAGUGGAAGGAAUGCAAAGAGCGUGCAUGCAAGUCAAUCUUCUGCCUCCGCCAAAGCCGCGAAACCAAGAAGGAUGGACAAGGAUAAUAAGAAUAAGAUUUCCAGUAAGCUUUUGGAAUCUUGCAAACGGGACACCCAUUUCAGCAGGUCAGAGAUCGAGGCCUUGUACAAGAUCUACAAGAAACUGAUAUCACUUGAUAAGCCGAGAGCGAACAAUGAUAAAAGGAGAUCCAAUGCUGGAUCGGUAAUUAGGAAACCUACAUCUAUACAAGAAGGUAUCAAUCGGACGGUCUUCUGCGAGCUGCUGCAUAAUACCUUCAGUAUUGUAAGUGAAGACAUGUUGAUGGAUCGAAUCUUCUGUGUGUGGGACAAGGAGAACUUGGGUCUACUGACACCUCACGCCUGGUUUUCUGGCCUCUCCAUUUAUUUACGUGGUAGCAAGGUCGAACAGAUCGACUUCUGCUUCGCCAUUUACGACUUGAACGCGGAUGGUUUCAUAAGCAAGGACGAAAUGUUUCAAUUGCUCAAGAACUGCUUGGUAAAGCAUCCACAGGACGAAGACCCCGACGAAGGUGUGAAAGAUCUUGUGGAAAUAGUGAUGAGGAAGCUGGAUAGAGACAGAGAUGGUAGGGUGUCUCUUGACGAUUUCAGAGGAUCAGUGGAGGAGGAACCUCUCCUGCUGGAAGCCUUUGGUACUUGUUUACCUUCGGAACGCUUCAAGGACACUUUCCUUGCAACAUUGAAACAAUGAUGAGGAGACUGCUGUAAUCAAGAAACCUGAUUUAAAAUAGCAAUGUGUUUAGUUUCACAGCUUAGUUUCAUAUCUAAUAUUUUGGUAGUUUUUGUUUUCAUUUUAAUCCCCACCAUAAGCCUCGCGCUCUUUGUAUGUAUCUCAGCUCCAGUUUUAAUGGUCACAACCAGAAUAUACUACAUUCAGUUGCGCAUCGCGAUCGCUCUCUACCAAACCUUAUCAGAAUGGCUAAACACACGAAAGCUGUACACAAGCAGGAGAUUAGCGCUUUUGUGCAAGCAAGGACUGUUUUGCAGAUUAUCGGGGAAAUCUUAUUGCUUUUAUUGAAAUUGGCAUAUUU